GAAAUCCUUUAAAAAUCAUGUAUGUAGGACAAGACAUUGGAAAUAAUUCCAUCUCAAGACUUUUCUAUCCAAAGUAGAACUUUAAACAUUUUUGACUGAACCAUGUUAGGAGAAUAAUCAUCCAUUUCUAUACAUAACUCACAUCUAUUUUUAGAUUUUGUUUAGGAGCUUGGUAUCACUAUGAUUUAGUGGUCUGUGCAUAUAAAGUGAGGUGGCUAUAAUCUAAUAAUAAUAUUUUUUUGGAGCAUCAAUUCCUGGGUCUCUUGGUGUGCCCAUUUGGACAUCCUCCUUUCUUCUUUUUGGUUUGGAUUAGGAUAUUGUAGGUACUGGCGGGUCCCCAGUGGACAGCACUGGUUCUGGAAAUCUGCAGUCACACCCAGUUAUUGUGAGUAGUUUUACACAGGAGAUACAGUGACAUCGGUAAAGGUCCCUGGAACACACAAGAUACAGUUACAUGGUAAAGGUUCCUGGAACACACAGGAGAUACAGUCACAUCGGUAAAGGUCCCUGGAACACACAGCAGAUACAGUUACAUCGGUAAAGGUUCAU